rnacentral:rRNA from 1 species
UGAGGAAUAUUGGUCAAUGGGCGAGAGCCUGAACCAGCCAAGUAGCGUGCAGGUCGACGGCCCUAUGGGUUGUAAACUGCUUUUAUGUGGGGAUAAAGUGCGUGACGUGUCAUGCAUUGCAGGUACCACAUGAAUAAGGACCGGCUAAUUCCGUGCCAGCAGCCGCGGUAAUACGGAAGGUCCGGGCGUUAUCCGGAUUUAUUGGGUUUAAAGGGAGCGUAGGCUGUCUAUUAAGCGUGUUGUGAAAUUUACCGGCUCAACCGGUGGCUUGCAGCGCGAACUGGUCGACUUGAGUAUGCAGGAAGUAGGCGGAAUUCAUGGUGUAGCGGUGAAAUGCUUAGAUAUCAUGACGAACUCCGAUUGCGCAGGCAGCUUACUGUAGCAUAACUGACGCUGAUGCUCGAAAGUGCGGGUAUCAAACAGG